ensembl:lncRNA
UGGGACAGGGAUAAGACAAACAUGGGACAAGGAUGGGGACAUGGAUGGGGACGUGACUGGGGACAUGGAUGGGACUGGGAUGGGGACGGAGAUGGACAUGUGAUAGGACAGCGAUGGGGACAGGGAUGGGGACAAAUGGGACCAGGGAUGGGACAGAGAUGGGACAUGGAUGGGAACAGGGGUGGGGACAUGGAUGGGACGAGGAUGGGACAUGGAUAGGGACAGGGAUGGACACGGAUGGGGACUUGAAUGGGACAAGGAUGGGGCCAGGGAUGGGACAGGGAGGGGACAUGGAUGGGGACAUGGAUGAGAAUAUGGUUGGAGACAUGGAUGGGACAGGGAUGGGACUGAGACGGACAUGGAUGGGACAGGGAUGGGGACAAAUGGGGCCAGGGAUGGGACAUGGAUGGGGACAUGGAUGGGACAGGGAUGGGACAGGGAUGGGGUUCAAAUGGGGCCAGGAAUGGGACAGGGAUGGGACAGGGAUGGGACAUGGAUGGGGACAUGGAUGGGACAGGGAUGGGGACAGGGAUGGGACAUGGAUGGGACAUGGAUGGGGACAUGGAUGGGACAGGGAUGGGACAGGGAUGGGAACAUGGUUGGGAACAUGGAUGGGGACAUGGAUGGGGACAAAUGGGGACAGGGAUAGGGACAGGGAUGGACACGGUUGAGGACAUGGAUGGGACAGGGAUGGGGACAGACAUGGCAGUGGGGACGUGGGGACAUGGUGGGGCCGUGGGUGGCGGUGCCAAUCGCUGUCCUUCCCCCAGGCUGCCACCCAGGGCCCGUCCCCGUCCCCGUCCCCGUCCCCAUGGCCGCUCCGUCCUGCCGGGCCCUCCUGGCCGCCUGCCUGGCGCUGGCGCUGGGGACAGCGGCGCGGGACGAAGGCUGCGGCGCUUUUGGGAACGUGUUCACGGAGGUGACGGAGAACAGCGCUCACGGCACGUUGGUGGCACGGCUGCCCCCCGGGGGGGGCGCGGGGGGUCCUGCGCUGCAGCUCUGCCUGGAGGGCGCCGACGCCGCGUGGUUCUACCUGGAUGGGAGCAGCAUGAGGCUGAACGCCUCCAAUGGGCGCUGCCUGGACCGUGAGGUGGGCGGCCUCGUACAGCCACCCUGAGGCACCCCAAAGGCAUCCCAUAUCUGCAUCCAUGCCGUAUCCAUCCUACAUCCAACCUACGUUCAUCCUACAUCCAUCCUACAUCCAUUCCUCAUCUCAUAUCCAUCCUACAUCCGUCCUUUAUCUCAUAUCCAUCCUAUCUCCGUCCCUGAUCUUAUAUCUAUCCUAGAUCCAUUCCUUGUCUCAUAUCCAUCCUAUAUCCAUCUCUUAUCUCAUAUCCAUUUUAUAUCUGUCCCUUAUCUCAUAUCCAUCUUGUAUCCAUCCCUUAUUUUAUAUCCAUCCUACAUCCAUCCGAUCCUACACCCAUCCUACAUCCAUCCCUUAUCUGAUAUCCAUCCUACAUCCAUCCUACAUCCAUCCCGUAUCAUAUCCAUCCUACAUCCAUCCCAUACCAUAUCCAUCCUACAUCUAUCCCGUAUCAUAUUCAUCCUACAUCCAUCCCACACCAUAUCCAUCCUAUAUCCGACCUACAUUCAUCCAACAUUCAUCCACGUCCACCUCACAUCCACCUCACAUCCAUCCUACAACCAUCCCUCAUCCAUCCCUCAUCCAUCCCACAUCCAUCCUACAUUCAUCCCUCAUCCAUCCCACAUUCAUCUCUCAUCCAUCUUACAACCAUCCCACAUCCAUCCUACAUCCAUUCUAUAUUCAUCUCUCAUCCAUCCCUCAUCCAUCCCUCAUCCACCCCACAUCCAUCCCACAUCCAUCCCUCAUCCAUCCCUCAUCCACCCCACAUCCACCCCUCAUCCACCCCACAUCCACCCCACAUCCACCCCACAUCCAUCCCUCAUCCAUCCCUCAUCCAUCCCUCAUCCAUCCCUCAUCCAUCCCUCAUCCACCCCACAUCCACCCCACAUCCAUCCCACAUCCAUCCAUCCCAUACCCAUCCCACAUUUGUCUUCUGUCCAUCCCAUCUCUGUUCUCCGUCCUCCCCAUGUCCAUCCCGUCUCACUCCCCCUUCUUUCCUGUGUG